GGGGGAUGGGAGAGCAGGCAGAAAGCAGAAAAACCAGCUUUGAACUCUGCGUGCAAGGCCUCCUGAGCCACAGGCCCCGAGAAAGACUACUUCCAAACUGGAGCACUGUCGGCUGUUGGCGAGAUGAUUUCUCUACAAAAAGGAUGUUACUGCUAGGUCCAAAGGGAAGCAAAUAGAAAAUAGAAGGGAUCUCUGGCAGAACUGAAAGAUGCUUCACCUCAUAGAAAAAUAAACAUUUCUCACUGCUAAAGCAGUCACAUCAGCUGCUGCAAAGGGGCUGCAGAGAGGACACCUGGGAAGAGGGAACGUUCUUCAGUGGCCCAGGAGGCUUCUUGUCUGGAAAUGGAGCAACACAUGCCCCAACCUGUCAUAGAGAGGCCCAAAUUCAUAAUGACUCUGCUAUCCCUGCUGAGUUCAAACCCAAAGUGCAGAACCCUGGCAGGAUGCCACUAAACCCGGUCCCAACAAGGCCAAAUGCAAGCAGUUGCAGCCAUUGUUCCUCUCAAAACACAUCUGUCUAUCAACUGUAAACCGGGAAGACCCCUUGGCUGACAAAGCAGAGCCACUGACAAGACUUACAAAGCCACUUAGGAGACUAAGCCUGGGGCAACCACUGGGCUUGACCGACUUGGGGGCAUGGGUCUCUCUCCCAGGCUAGUGUCGCCAGUGCACUGCAAGAACAUGUCAAACAGGCAAUAGAGAGCCCCUGGUUACACUUGGUUUUAUGUCUCUUCCUGGCAGUGCAAAACUAAGAGGGGCAUGCUUCCGAACCACAUCAAGCACAACACUGCCCUGGCCAUUAAGCAGGACCCCUCUACAGCUGGCAGAUGCUUCCAGUCGCCAUGUGUCUCCAGUGCUAGAGCCUUCUACACUGCUUCUCAACAUUUUUCAGGCCUCCUAGGCUGGGGCUGCAUUCUGAAGGGCUGGAACUAAUGCCAAGAUGGUGGCUGUCAGCUCAGCACAGCAGGCCUCCUACAGGAAAAGUAGCCAGUGAAGCUGUAUAUAGCUUUCUGUGUAGAUUCUGGGUAUAGAA